rnacentral:rRNA from 1 species
GACGAACGCUGGCGGCGUGCCUAAUACAUGCAAGUAGAACGCUGAAGGAGGAGCUUGCUUCUCUGGAUGAGUUGCGAACGGGUGAGUAACGCGUAGGUAACCUGCCUGGUAGCGGGGGAUAACUAUUGGAAACGAUAGCUAAUACCGCAUAAUAGCAGUUGUUGCAUGACAACUGUUUGAAAGGUGCAAAUGCAUCACUACCAGAUGGACCUGCGUUGUAUUAGCUAGUUGGUGGGUAACGGCUCACCAAGGCGACGAUACAUAGCCGACCUGAGAGGGUGAUCGGCCACACUGGGACUGAGACACGGCCCAGACUCCUACGGGAGGCAGCAGUAGGGAAUCUUCGGCAAUGGACGGAAGUCUGACCGAGCAACGCCGCGUGAGUGAAGAAGGUUUUCGGAUCGUAAAGCUCUGUUGUAAGAGAAGAACGAGUGUGAGAGUGGAAAGUUCACAA